UGCCCGGUGGUGUAAUUGGUAACACAGCAGAAUUUGGAUCUGCUUUUCCAGGUUCGAGCCCUGGCUGGGCAG
rnacentral:tRNA from 2 species